UUGAACUGAAGAGUUUGAUCAUGGCUCAGAUUGAACGCUGGCGGCAGGCCUAACACAUGCAAGUCGAGCGGAUGAGGGGUGCUUGCACCCCG
rnacentral:rRNA from 1 species